rnacentral:rRNA from 1 species
UACGUAGGGGGCAAGCGUUAUCCGGAUUUACUGGGUGUAAAGGGAGCGCAGACGGAACUGCAAGUCUGAUGUGAAAGCCCGGGGCUCAACCGCGGGACUGCAUCGGAUACUGUGGAUCUGGAGUGCCGGAGGGGCAAGCGGAAUUCCUGGUGUAGCGGUGAAAUGCGUAGAUAUCAGGAGGAACACCGGCGGCGAAGGCGGCUUGCUGGACGGCAACUGACGUUGAGGCUCGAAAGCGUGGGGAGCAAACAGGAUUAGAUA